CUUGACAUCCUCUGACAAUCCUAGAGAUAGGACUUUCCCCUCGGGGGACAGAGUGACAGGUGGUGCAUGGUUGUCGUCAGCUCGUGUCGUGAGAUGUUGGGUUAAGUCCCGCAACGAGCGCAACCCUUAUUCUUAGUUGCCAGCAUUAGGUUGGGCACUCUAAGGAGACUGCCGGUGACAAACCGGAGGAAGGUGGGGAUGACGUCAAAUCAUCAUGCCCCUUAUGACCUGGGCUACACACGUGCUACAAUGGAUGGUACAAAGGGCUGCGAAACCGCGAGGUUAAGCCAAUCCCAUAAAACCAUUCUCAGUUCGGAUUGCAGGCUGCAACUCGCCUGCAUGAAGCCGGAAUCGCUAGUAAUCGCGGAUCAGCAUGCCGCGGUGAAUACGUUCCCGGGUCUUGUACACACCGCCCGUCACACCACGAGAGUUUGUAACACCCGAAGUCGGUGGGGUAACCGCAAGGAGCCAGCCGCCUAAGGUGGGACAGAUGAUUGGGGUGAAGUCGUAACAAGGUAAGCGUAGAUGA
rnacentral:rRNA from 1 species